rnacentral:siRNA from 1 species
CUUUCCAUUUUUACCCUCUUAGG